AUUGCUCCUACCACACAGGCUUAGGUGUUUAUCCAAUUAGGAGUGCUCUGAAAGAAAGAGUGAGGAAGGGCCAAACAGAAUUGCUGAUCGACUGGGAGCCUUGUGCAGCAUGUGGGAAACAGUGGAAUCCUACUUGGGAGCCCAAGGAGUCAUUUGUGUGAUUGAUUAAUUUUGUAAUAUAUGUUGUUUUAUUUUUUUUAUUAUACAUUACAUAUGCAAUAAAGUG